rnacentral:rRNA from 1 species
UACGAAGGGGGCUAGCGUUGCUCGGAAUCACUGGGCGUAAAGCGCACGUAGGCGGACUCUUAAGUCGGUGGUGAAAUCCUGGAGCUCAACUCCAGAACUGCCUUCGAUACUGCUAAGCUAGAGUCCCGGAGAGGAUGGUGGAACUCUCGGUGUAGAGGUGAAAUUCGUAGAUAUCGAGAAGAACACCGGUGGCGAAGGCGGCCAUCUGGACGGUGACUGACGCUGAGACGCGAAAGCGUGGGGAGCAAACAGG